rnacentral:rRNA from 1 species
CCUACGGGAGGCUGCAGUCGAGAAUCUUCGGCAAUGGGCGCAAGCCUGACCGAGCGACGCCGCGUGUGCGAUGAAGGCCUUCGGGUUGUAAAGCACUGUCGAGGGGAAGAAAGCCCGUAAGGGUUGAUCGACCCCUGGAGGAAGCACGGGCUAAGUUCGUGCCAGCAGCCGCGGUAAGACGAACCGUGCGAACGUUGUUCGGAAUCAUUGGGCUUAAAGGGCGUGUAGGCGGCCAGGUCCGUCGGCGGUGAAAUUUCCCGGCUUAACCGGGAAGCGGCCGCCGAUACUGCCUGGCUCGAGGUAGGGAGGGGCGCGUGGAAUUUCCGGUGGAGCGGUGAAAUGCGUUGAUACCGGAAGGAACGCCGGUGGCGAAAGCGACGCGCUGGACCUACCCUGACGCUGAGGCGCGAAAGCCAGGGGAGCAAACGGGAUUAGAUACC